CUAAAAUGGUAUUUCUUCAGUUGUGCAGGAUCACUGGAACUGUUCAGUGAAUAUUUCAAUCUUUUUAUGAAACAACUUGGUUUCAACCCAGGACAAAUUGGAUUGACAGCACUGUUCGGAAUACCGCAUCUAUUCAUACCAUUGUGUCUAUUCUUCGGGGAGAAAUUUCGAGCAAGAAAGAUUGUCGCAGUAUGUGGUACCUUGGCAGCAUCGGUAUGUUGUAUGUUACCACUUUUAUCCCUGGUUGUACCAGCACUACAGCCGACAUGCUAUACCAAACCAUGCAUACAUAGCAUUCAAGUCUGCUAGGAAAGCAAUACAACUUAGAAACGGAACAGUGCAUUUGAACUAUUCAAGCUAUGCAUUUCGCAGCAACAAGAAGCACUUUACAUCGACAAAGUCUCUUAAAGCGGUACAACAACAUAUCUUCAUUAAUAGUUCGGUCGAUAAAACCACCAAUAACUCAUCUG